rnacentral:rRNA from 1 species
UACAGAGGUCCCAAGCGUUGUUCGGAUUCACUGGGCGUAAAGGGCGCGUAGGUGGCCACUAUAAGGCCGCGGUGAAAGUUCGGGGCUCAACCCUGAAUCUGCCGCGGCGACUGUAGGGCUAGGGCACCGUAGAGGCAGAUGGAAUUCCGGGUGUAGCGGUGGAAUGCGUAGAGAUCCGGAAGAACACCAGUGGCGAAGGCGGCUCACUGGCCCGGUACUGACGCUGAGGUGCGAAAGCGUGGGGAGCAAACAGG